rnacentral:misc_RNA from 1 species
GAUGAAGAACGCAGCGAAAUGCGAUAAGUAAUGUGAAUUGCAGAAUUCAGUGAAUCAUCGAAUCUUUGAACGCACAUUGCGCCCCCUGGUAUUCCGGGGGGCAUGCCUGUUCGAGCGUCAUUUCACCACUCAAGCCUCGCUUGGUAUUGGGCAACGCGGUCCGCCGCGUGCCUCAAGUCGUCCGGCUGGGUCUUCUGUCCCCUAAGCGUUGUGGAAACUAUUCGCUAAAGGGUGUUCGGGAGGCUACGCCGUAAAACAACCCCAUUUCUAAGGUUGACCUCGGAUCAGGUAGGGAUACCCGCUGAACUUAAGCAUAUCAAUAAGCGGAGGA